ensembl:lncRNA
AGGGACUUUAUUCAUUAACAAGUUAAAUGAAGUUGAUGACCAGAGUGCUUCUGUUGGGCUUGGACCACUGAUAUUUUUGUUCACUGUGCAGAGGAGGAGGAGAGCUGACCAUAUCACUGGUGUCAGGGCAGAAGACCUUCCCCCCAAGACCUCAGAGCAGUGCAGGUGAGCAAUGGGCCCGUGCUCUGGGAGCAUCUCAGUGACAGCCAAAGGAAACCCGGAGCGCUGCCUGCACACACAGCAAUGUGAGCCGCAGGGAGCAGGCUGCCAGGAGGCCAGGAGGAUUUCAGUCUGGUUUCUCCCAGUCAGGAGCACGGAUGGGAUGAGCUGCUGCAACUAUAAUUCAUAUCCAAUCAGAGUGAAAGCAUUACUGUAAUUAACCGACAAGUAAAUAUACUCAUAUACCGGAGCUAUGACUUCCAAAAUCAUGACCUGAGGCAAACCCUGUGCUUUGUUAACUGCACUCCACGUAAUUGGGAAGACACUGACUGCCUCCUCCUGGGCGUGGGAAGGUGACGGCAGGACCUCAGCCCGCAUGCACUGAGCCUUGCAGGGCACCUUGGCUCAAGGAACCCAAAAAUCCCACGGAGGAAUGCAAACACCACUCUGCCGGAACACAAUUAGAAACAAUUAAACACAGGGUAACUUAAGGGGGGGAAAAAAAAACCCAAAACCAGCACAACCUUUUUAUUCAGACAAACACAAGAGAUAGAUAGGAUUUAUGAGCUCAGAUUUUUGGUUGGAGAGCCAACGCGUUACUUGAAAGCAUCGUGAUGUGACCGAGGGGGUGCACAUGGGUUGGAAUAAUUUGUCAAGCCGCAUGAGGCGGAUUUAUUUUAAACCAAUGACUUCCCAGCAUUGAGGGAAGGAGCAGCCCCCAGCUACAGUCCCUUUUCAUUCCGAUGCUUGUAACAAUGAAGAUGAAAUAUGAUUUCCCCUUCUAAGAAAUGCUCCAAAAGGCAAAACAAAACCCCACCAAAACGCAUGUGUUUCUCUGUUACAGAAGAUAGGUCUCUGCAUGCGGGAAAUCCUGUGUUUUCCUUAUUUUCUACCACAAAUGCCCCAUUUUUAAAGAGAUGAAUACUGCAAUCAUUUUCUCUCAUUUACGUUUUCAUUUCUGCCUCAUUUGGCACCACCGCUGUUGUUCCAAGAACAACGGCUCUCUGCAAAGGGAAUGAUCUCCGGACGUCUCAUCUAAAACCUUUGAAGUCAAUGGGGAUGAAGUGAAAUGCAAGGCAGAGGGGCGAUGCAUAUUAGCAGCAAUCAAAUACUUUCCCACUGCCCGAGUGGACUCUGCGCACAUCGCCUGAUGGCACGGAGCUGCAGUCCCUAUGCCUCAGACAGAAGGGAAAACUUAGCAGGUCACCAAGCACAAGGCUUGCAGGUUUGGGAUCUGAAGUCUGAUACAAAUGUGGGUCGUGCACCAGGUCCCGGAGCAGCAGCAAAAGUCGUGGACGUCUCUGUGUGUGAGCAUCCCUGGAAAUCGGACGGGCCGUGUGUGGUCAGCGGCACCGGGACAGCAGCAGUGGGAACAAAGUGUCGCAGCUCUGAGCUCCCCGGGUGUGAGGCGUGUGCUGGCAAGCCAGACGGCGACAAGGAACGUUCGAAAGAGGAACUUGGAGAAGAAUUAGCGUCAGGCAUGUGUAAAGAGGGUUAUUCUCUCCAUCUCCAACGCCUAUAAUUACAUAUCAAACGUGCUAAUAAAAUCCAGUGGUUAC